GAGGAAUAUUGGGCAAUGCCCGCAAGGGUGACCCAGCAACGCCGCGUGGAGGAUGAAUGUCGUAAGAUUGUAAACUCCUGUUAGAGGGGAAGAAUAGUACCGGUUGGACCGGUAUAUGACUGUACCCUCAGAGAAAGCCCCGGCUAACUACGUGCCAGCAGCCGCGGUAAUACGUAGGGGGCAAGCGUUGUCCGGAUUUACUGGGUGUAAAGGGCGCGCAGGCGGGAUAAAAAGUCAGUGGUGAAAUCCUACAGCUUAACUGUAGAACUGCCUUUGAUACUUUUAUUCUGGAGUUCGGGAGAGAGAGACGGAAUUCCAGGUGUAGUGGUGAAAUACGUAGAUAUCUGGAAGAACACCAGUUGCGAAGGCGGUCUCUUGGUCCGACACUGACGCUGAGGCGCGAAAGCGUGGGGAGCAAACA
rnacentral:rRNA from 1 species